rnacentral:rRNA from 1 species
CACGUAGGGGGCGAGCGUUGUCCGGAUUUAUUGGGCGUAAAGAGCUCGUAGGCGGCUCAGUUAGUCGGGUGUGAAACCCCCGGGCUCAACCCGGGGACGCCACCCGAUACUGCUGUGGCUAGAGUCCGGUAGGGGAGCGUGGAAUUCCUGGUGUAGCGGUGAAAUGCGCAGAUAUCAGGAGGAACACCAGCGGCGAAGGCGGCGCUCUGGGCCGGAACUGACGCUGAGGAGCGAAAGCGUGGGGAGCGAACAGGAUUAGAUACCCUGGUAGUCCACGCUGUAAACGUUGGGCACUAGGUGUGGGAUGUUAUCAACGCAUUCUGUGCCGUAGCUAACGCAUUAAGUGCCCCGCCUGGGGAGUACGGCCGCAAGGCUAAA